CCUACGGGAGGCAGCAGUAGGGAAUAUUGGACAAUGGGCGAAAGCCUGAUCCAGCCAUGCCGCGUGAGUGAUGAAGGCCUUAGGGUUGUAAAGCUCUUUCGUCAGGGACGAUAAUGACGGUACCUGAAGAAGAAGCCCCGGCUAACUUCGUGCCAGCAGCCGCGGUAAU
rnacentral:rRNA from 1 species